GCGAGUGAAGCGGUAACAGCUCAAAUUUGAAAUCUGGCCUCACGGUCCGAGUUGUAAUUUGUAGAGGAUGCUUUUGGCGCGGUGCCUUCCGAGUGCCCUGGAACGGGACGCCACAGAGGGUGAGAGCCCCGUAUGGUCGGACACCAAGCCUGUGUAAAGCUCCUUCGACGAGCCGGGUAGCUUGGGAAUGCUGCUCUAAGUGGGAGGUAAACUUCUUCUAAAGCUAAAUACUGGCCAGAGACCGACAGCGCACAAGUAGAGUGAUCGAAAGAUGAAAAGCACUUUGAAAAGAGGGUCAAAUAGUACGUGAAAUUGUUGAAAGGGAAGCGCUCAUGACCAGACUUGCGCCGGGCUGAUCAUCCAGUGGUCUCCACUGGUGCACUCUGCCCGGCUCAGGCCAGCGUCGGCUGUCACGGGGGGACAAAAGCUCUGGGAAAGUAGCUCUCUCCGGGGAGUGUUAUAGCCCUAUGCAGAAUACCCCCGCGGCGGCCGAGGCCCGCGCUCUGCAAG
rnacentral:rRNA from 1 species